UUUAUGGAGAGUUUGAUCCUGGCUCAGGAUGAACGCUGGCGGCGUGCCUAAUACAUGCAAGUCGAGCGAACGGACGAGAAGCUUGCUUCUCUGAUGUUAGCGGCGGACGGGUGAGUAACACGUGGAUAACCUACCUAUAAGACUGGGAUAACUUCGGGAAACCGGAGCUAAUACCGGAUAAUAUUUUGAACCGCAUGGUUCAAAAGUGAAAGACGGUCUUGCUGUCACUUAUAGAUGGAUCCGCGCUGCAUUAGCUAGUUGGUAAGGUAACGGCUUACCAAGGCAACGAUGCAUAGCCGACCUGAGAGGGUGAUCGGCCACACUGGAACUGAGACACGGUCCAGACUCCUACGGGAGGCAGCAGUAGGGAAUCUUCCGCAAUGGGCGAAAGCCUGACGGAGCAACGCCGCGUGAGUGAUGAAGGUCUUCGGAUCGUAAAACUCUGUUAUUAGGGAAGAACAUAUGUGUAAGUAACUGUGCACAUCUUGACGGUACCUAAUCAGAAAGCCACGGCUAACUACGUGCCAGCAGCCGCGGUAAUACGUAGGUGGCAAGCGUUAUCCGGAAUUAUUGGGCGUAAAGCGCGCGUAGGCGGUUUUUUAAGUCUGAUGUGAAAGCCCACGGCUCAACCGUGGAGGGUCAUUGGAAACUGGAAAACUUGAGUGCAGAAGAGGAAAGUGGAAUUCCAUGUGUAGCGGUGAAAUGCGCAGAGAUAUGGAGGAACACCAGUGGCGAAGGCGACUUUCUGGUCUGUAACUGACGCUGAUGUGCGAAAGCGUGGGGAUCAAACAGGAUUAGAUACCCUGGUAGUCCACGCCGUAAACGAUGAGUGCUAAGUGUUAGGGGGUUUCCGCCCCUUAGUGCUGCAGCUAACGCAUUAAGCACUCCGCCUGGGGAGUACGACCGCAAGGUUGAAACUCAAAGGAAUUGACGGGGACCCGCACAAGCGGUGGAGCAUGUGGUUUAAUUCGAAGCAACGCGAAGAACCUUACCAAAUCUUGACAUCCUUUGACAACUCUAGAGAUAGAGCCUUCCCCUUCGGGGGACAAAGUGACAGGUGGUGCAUGGUUGUCGUCAGCUCGUGUCGUGAGAUGUUGGGUUAAGUCCCGCAACGAGCGCAACCCUUAAGCUUAGUUGCCAUCAUUAAGUUGGGCACUCUAAGUUGACUGCCGGUGACAAACCGGAGGAAGGUGGGGAUGACGUCAAAUCAUCAUGCCCCUUAUGAUUUGGGCUACACACGUGCUACAAUGGACAAUACAAAGGGUAGCGAAACCGCGAGGUCAAGCAAAUCCCAUAAAGUUGUUCUCAGUUCGGAUUGUAGUCUGCAACUCGACUACAUGA
rnacentral:rRNA from 1 species